UGUAAUUUCAUUGACCAUGCCAGUGGGUUCAACAUUAGAUGUUUAUUUGAAUUUAUCACAGAUAACAUUAAUAUACGUUUGAAAAAAGUUUAAUUUUGAAUUAGGUUAGGUCCAUCAUUUUAUUGGCUUACGACACUCACGUGGUCCAAGAUCAGCGCGUGCGUGAGAACCGGAACGCGCAACGUGGGAAUGACGUUGCCGGCUUGGCGCCACAAUUGACUGCAUUCGAACUUCAAGCUGUCGGCAGUAAUCAGCACCAUCGGUUUCACGGUGGCUGGCUGCAAAAUGAUUUGGCAGUAAAGAGGAUACAGACAGCAUUUGACCUGCGGCAACAGACCAUAGUGAAGACAUGCCCACCAGUGAAAAACCUUAUGGAACUCUGGCCUGCACUCAAAUAGAGUCUGAGGUGUAUUUAGACUUCCAACAAAUUACAAUACAGAACCUGCCCAACAUAUUCUGCUCUGAGCUUGACCGACAUCUUCUUUCUGAAAAAAGUCAUCAGUCUAGAAAGACAACCAAAAUUGGGAAGACAUCAAAUGCUUUGACUGAAAUCCUAAGAAUCUACGAUUAACAGGAGGUACGUGACAUACACACCAAGUGUAUCACUGCUCUUCAUCUCCUUCCAGUCUAUCAACAUGAGGACGUCUCAGGGUUCUUCAGGACCUGCACAGACACAUCUGAUGAGCCAGAGCUUUAAGAUGUUGUAAAGGCCCUCCUUACAGUCAUCAUAGAUGACGACACAAGUCCAGUUCACUUCCAGCCUGAGAAAAUCUGUCAUCGUUGAAAGCGAGAUUUGGUCAACCUCUACAGAUUUACUGAUGCCUUUCUGGUAAUGUUUGGACUGAUCUAUGCACUACACCUCAGCUAUCCCAGGCGACUGACAACACACUUGAAUUCACUCAAAUGUUACUUUGCCUUGAUGAUGGAAAAGUGUCAUCCAAGUAACAGAGUCUCAAAAAGGACUUGAUGUGUAUGUAGAAAUGUAUCUAAAAAUGUGUUUUCUUCACAAUAUGCACAAUGUGCCUUUGUAUUUUCAAACGGUAUUUGUGACUUGAAUUGUUGUCUGUGUUGGUCUUUUAAAUUGACACUGCCAUUUUAAAUGGAAAGGGCAAAAAUUUUGUGAAACACAAUGUAAUUCAAACUGUUUAAGUUGUCUGUACUCAAAAUAUUUGAGGCAACGAGUUGCCUCAAAAAAAUUAAGUUUUGAGCCAUGUGAUUUUAAGUUUUGUGUGUCAAAGGUUUUGAGUAAUGUGUAAUUAAAAAAAACUGAACAAAAAUAAAAACAUUGAGUUUACAUAACUUAAAAGUGCUUCUUUGUGUACUUAUUUUUUUUUAGUAAUGUUAACUUAAUGCCAUGAGUCAAUGUAACUGAAAAUUAUUGAGUAGACUUUAAUAAGAACUUUUAAUUUAAUUAUAAUCAAAAGGUUUAUGUUACAAGUAAUCAAAAUAUUU